rnacentral:rRNA from 1 species
UACGAAGGGGGCUAGCGUUGUUCGGAAUUACUGGGCGUAAAGCGCGCGCAGGCGGUCUUCCAAGUCAGUGGUGAAAGCCCGGAGCUCAACUCCGGAACUGCCAUUGAAACUGCAAGUCUUGAGUCCGAGAGAGGUGAGUGGAAUUCCUAGUGUAGAGGUGAAAAUUCGUAGAUAUUAGGAAGAACACCAGUGGCGAAGGCGGCUCACUGGCUCGGUACUGACGCUGAGGUGCGAAAGCGUGGGGAGCAAACAGG